UGGGGAAUCUUCCGCAAUGGACGAAAGUCUGACGGAGCAACGCCGCGUGUAUGAUGAAGGUCUUCGGAUUGUAAAGUACUGUCAUUGGGGAAGAACGGUUUUCUUGAAAAGAUUGAGAAGACAUGACGGUACCCAAGGAGGAAGCCCCGGCUAACUACGUGCCAGCAGCCGCGGUAAUACGUAGGGGGCAAGCGUUGUCCGGAAUUAUUGGGCGUAAAGGGCGCGUAGGCGGGCCUUUAAGUCCGGUGUGAAAGAUCAGGGCUCAACCCUGAGAGUGCAUCGGAAACUGGAGGCCUUGAGGACAGGAGAGGAAAGUGGAAUUCCACGUGUAGCGGUGAAAUGCGUAGAUAUGUGGAGGAACACCAGUGGCGAAGGCGACUUUCUGGACUGUAACUGACGCUGAGGCGCGAAAGCGUGGGGAGCAAACAGGAUUAGAUACCCUGGUAGUCCACGCCGUAAACGAUGAGUGCUAGGUGUAGAGGGUAUCGACCCCUUCUGUGCCGCAGUUAACACAAUAAGCACUCCGCCUGGGGAGUACGGCCNCAAGGUUGAAACUCAAAGGAAUUGAC
rnacentral:rRNA from 1 species